CUACGGGUUGCACCAGUGAGGAAUUUUGCGCAAUGGGGGGAACCCUGACGCAGCAACGCCGCGUGAGUGAUGAAGGCUUUCGGGUCGUAAAGCUCUGUCAAGUGGGAAGAACCUAUGCAGUGUUAAUAUCACUGUAUACUGACGGUACCACUGAAGGAAGCACCGGCUAACUCCGUGCCAGCAGCCGCGGUAAUACGGGGGGUGCAAGCGUUAUUCGGAAUCAUUGGGCGUAAAGGGCACGUAGGCGGCUUGGUAAGUCAGAUGUGAAAGCCCGGGGCUUAACCCCGGAAGUGCAUUUGGAGUGUCAGGAUUGAGUAUGGGAGAGGGAAGUGGAACUCCUGGUGUAGAGGUGAAAUUCGUAGAUAUCAGGAGGAAAACCGGUGGCGAAGACGACUGCCUGGACCAAUACUGACGCUGAGGUGCGAAGGCGUGGGUAGCAAACAGGAUUAGAUACCCCUGUAGUC
rnacentral:rRNA from 1 species